rnacentral:rRNA from 1 species
CUCUUCUUGUUUAAAAUAUGAAGUAUAACCUGCCCACUGAUUAAAAUUUUGAAGGGCCGCGGUAUUUUGACCGUGCAAAGGUAGCAUAAUCAUUAGUUCUUUAAUUGUGGACUGGAAUGAAUGGUUGGACGAAGAAUAGACUGUUUCUUAUUAUUUUAUUAUUGAAUUUAAUUUUUAAGUUAAAAAGCUUAAAUGUAUUUAUGGGACGAGAAGACCCUAUAGAGUUUAUAUAUAUUUAUUAAUUGAUUUUGUUUGAUUAUUUAUUUAUUAUUUAAUAUAUUUUGUUGGGGUGAUUGGAAGAAUUAAUUAACUCUUUUUUUUAUUAUACAUUUAUUUAUGAAUAGUUGAUCCAUUUUUGUUGAUUAUAAGAUUAAAUUACCUUAGGGAUAACAGCGUAAUCUUUUUUGAGAGUUCUUAUCGAUAAAUUGGUUUGCGA